UACGAAGGGUGCAAACGUUGCUCGGAAUCAUUGGGCGUAAAGCGCACGUAGGCGGCUUCGCAAGUCGGAUGUGAAAUCCCUCGGCUCAACCGAGGACGUGCAUACGAAACUGCGGAGCUUGAGUGCUGAAGAGGAUCGCGGAAUUCCCGGUGUAGAGGUGAAAUUCGUAGAUAUCAGGAAGAACACCCGUGGCUAAGGCGGCUCUCUAGUACGGUACUGACGCUGAGACGCGAAAGCGUGGGGAGCGAACAGG
rnacentral:rRNA from 1 species